rnacentral:rRNA from 1 species
CCUACGGGAGGCUGCAGUGGGGAAUAUUGGACAAUGGGCGAAAGCCUGAUCCAGCCAUGCCGCGUGUGUGAAGAAGGCCUUCGGGUUGUACAGCACUUUCAGUGGGGAAGAAAGCCUUGGGGCUAAUACCCUCGAGGAAGGACAUCACCCACAGAAGAAGCACCGGCUAACUCCGUGCCAGCAGCCGCGGUAAUACGGAGGGUGCGAGCGUUAAUCGGAAUUACUGGGCGUAAAGCGCGCGUAGGCGGUCUGAUAAGCCGGUUGUGAAAGCCCCGGGCUCAACCUGGGAACGGCAUCCGGAACUGUCAGGCUAGAGUGCAGGAGAGGAAGGUAGAAUUCCCGGUGUAGCGGUGAAAUGCGUAGAGAUCGGGAGGAAUACCAGUGGCGAAGGCGGCCUUCUGGACUGACACUGACGCUGAGGUGCGAAAGCGUGGGUAGCAAACAGGAUUAGAUACCCGGGUAGUC